rnacentral:rRNA from 1 species
AACGAACGCUGGCGGCAGGCUUAACACAUGCAAGUCGAGCGCCCCGCGAGGGGAGCGGCAGACGGGUGAGUAACGCGUGGGAAUCUACCGUGCCCUACGGAAUAGCUCCGGGAAACUGGAAUUAAUACCGUAUACGCCCUACGGGGGAAAGAUUUAUCGGGGUAUGAUGAGCCCGCGUUGGAUUAGCUAGUUGGUGGGGUAAAGGCCUACCAAGGCGACGAUCCAUAGCUGGUCUGAGAGGAUGAUCAGCCACAUUGGGACUGAGACACGGCCCAAACUCCUACGGGAGGCAGCAGUGGGGAAUAUUGGACAAUGGGCGCAAGCCUGAUCCAGCCAUGCCGCGUGAGUGAUGAAAGGUCUUAGGAUUGUAAAAGCUUUUUUCACCCGGGGA